UGCUUCAAAGCCACUCCGGGCUGGGGCUGAGCGAGCCUCCCAGGUUGAGGAGCCAUUUCAGAACAGUCAAGCUUCACCUGCCAAAUGCCUGGGCUGUCUGGGAGCCAAGAAGGACGGAUGGAGUGACCAGAUGAGGAAUCUGGACAGACAGCCAUCCCCUCCACCUGAGCUGAUCCCCGAGUUGACGGAGUUGACGGGGUGAUUCAAAGUUUUCAACCUAGGGUUGCACUCCUGUGCCAGCGUCUGAAGUCUUUUCCCAGCCCAGUCCUCCCAAGGCGAUCGCACACACUAAUGGAAACCAUGUUUCAGCACGAAGCUGCCUGCUGGAAAGCUGUCAUGGCUCCCCAGGGCCCCGGGCAGUGAUUUCUCCACCUGUGUCCUAGGACAAGAGUUUGAAGGGACUUUUCUGGGGGACCUUGGCUCAUCCCACCCGAGAUCACCUGGGCCUUGUUCUCAAUGCGCUCCCCAGCGAGCAGAAGCUGCAGCAGCACCUGGGAACUUUCUAGAAACAAACUCAGGCCUACUGGAGGAUUUCUGAACCCUGCGCUCCUGGGCGGGGCCCUGCCGCCGAGGUUAGCAAGACCUCCGGGUGAUUCCAGUGCACACUGACAUCUAAGAACCACUUUAGAGCAUUCGCCACAGCGUCUGGAACUGUGUGCACCUGUUUUCAGCUUCAGACCCAAAUCUUCCUGAGGACAAGGAUUGUGUCAUAUUUUAUCUUUUCAUGGCUGGUCCCUGGCAUAGUAUUUGACACUUAGACCCUCUGUCUAGGCUAAUGGUCAAAUAAAGGCAUUUUGAUGACGAUGUCCCAAGUUCCUCUUCACUGACUUGUUGUUGAGUAUCUCCUCUUGGGAUCAAAUAUAGUUCUCAGACUACUCAAUCAAACACAGAAGGAAAUGAAACAGCAAACGUCAUCAACUCUCAGCUGGGCAGUGGGAGGGUAUGGGAAAUGGAAAGUUCCAGAAAACCUCCAAUCAUAGUUUUUAAAAGUUACUAAAAUGUGGCAUGAAAAUAAUCUUAAUACAGGGUAUGUUAAUUU